ACUCAAAGGAAUAGACGGGGGCCCGCACAAGCAGUGGAGUAUGUGGUUUAAUUCGAAGCAACGCGAAGAACCUUACCAGGGCUUGACAUCCCUUGACAGAUGCAGAGAUGCAUUUUCCCUUCGGGGCAAGGAGACAGGUGGUGCAUGGUUGUCGUCAGCUCGUGUCGUGAGAUGUUGGGUUAAGUCCCGCAACGAGCGCAACCCCUGUUGUUAGUUGCCAUCAUUAAGUUGGGCACUCUAGCGAAACUGCCGGUGACAAAUCGGAGGAAGGUGGGGACGACGUCAAAUCAUCAUGCCCCUUAUGUCCUGGGCUACACACGUACUACAAUGGCUAUUACAGCAGGAUGCGAAGGCGCAAGCCGGAGCGAAUCCCAAAAAAUAGUCCCAGUUCAGAUUGUGGGCUGAAACCCGCCCACAUGAAGUAGGAAUUGCUAGUAAUUGCAGGUCAGCAUACUGCAGUGAAUACGUUCCCGGGCCUUGUACACACCGCCCGU
rnacentral:rRNA from 1 species